UAGCCCUACGGGAGGCAGCAGUAGGGAAUCUUCCACAAUGGGCGAAAGCCUGAUGGAGCAACGCCGCGUGGGUGAAGAAGGUCUUCGGAUCGUAAAACCCUGUUGUUAGAGAAGAAAGUGCGUGAGAGUAACUGUUCACAUUUCGACGGUAUCUAACCAGAAAGCCACGGCUAACUACGUGCCAGCAGCCGCGGUAAUACGUAGGUGGCAAGCGUUAUCCGGAUUUAUUGGGCGUAAAGGGAAGGCAGGCGGUCUUUUAAUUCUGAUGGGAAAGCCUUCGGCUUAACCGGGGUAGUGCAUUGGAA
rnacentral:rRNA from 1 species